rnacentral:rRNA from 1 species
UUUAAGGUCGGGCCUGCCCAAUGAUUUUUUAAUGGCUGCAGUAUUUUGACUGUACAAAGGUAGCAUAAUCAUUAGUUUUUUAAUUGAAAACUAGAAUGAAAGGUUUGAUAAGAAAAUAGCUGUCUCAGGUUAAUUUGUUUAUAAUUUUAUUUUUUAGUCAAAAAGCUUGGAUGUUUUAAAAAGACGAGAAGACCCUAUAGAAUUUAAGAUAUAAAAUUUUUAAUAUUGAGGGGUUUAUUGUUUAUUGAAUUUUUAUUAUUUUUUGUUGGGGUGACAUAAAAAUUUAUUUAACUUUUUAUUUAUUUUUACACUAAUGAGUGAGUGUUUGAUCCAGUUUAUUGAUUAAGAGAAAAAAUUACCUUAGGGAUAACAGCGUUAUUUUUCUUUAUAGUUCUUAUAGAAAGAGAAGUUUGCGACCUCGAUGUUGGAUUAAAGUUAAAUUUGGGUGAAGAAGCUUGAAUUUUAGGUCUGUUCGACCUUUAAAUCUUUACA